GCUUGCUUCAGCAAGACAUAUACUAAAAUUGGAGCAAUACAGAGAAGAUUAGCAUGGUCCCUGCAAAUUUGUGAAGCAUUCAUUUUAAAUAUUUUUUCUUUAUUU